AUUGAACGCUGGCGGCAGGCCUAACACAUGCAAGUCGAACGAGUGGCGGACGGGUGAGUAAUGUCUGGGAAACUGCCUGAUGGAGGGGGAUAACUACUGGAAACGGUAGCUAAUACCGCAUACCAUCAGAUGUGCCCAGAUGGGAUUAGCUAGUUGGUGGGGUAACGGCUAACAAAGGGGACGGUCCCUAGCUGGUCUGAGCGGAUGACCAGCCAGACUGGAACUGAGACACGGUCCAGACUCCUAAGGGAGGCAGAAGUGGGGAAUAUUGCACAAUGGGCGCAAGCCUGAUGCAGCAAUGCCGCGUGUAUGAAGAAGGCCUUCGGAUUGUAAAGCACUUUCAGCGGGGAGGCGUUACCCGCAGAGGAAGCACCGGCUAACUACGUGCCAGCAGCCGCGGUAAUAC
rnacentral:rRNA from 1 species